UGAAAGAGUGAUCCUUCUUGGUAUUUAAUGAACAUUUCCCUUUUCAUUUAUAGGGCAGUUUUUUUCUUUUGAUGUGAGAAAUUUUUGUUUCGAACUGUCUUUGACUAUACAAUUUUUAGAUGACUCUGUAAAAUUUUGCUGAAGUCACUAUCAUGGCAUUACUUCAAUGUUCAACUGCAUUUACUCGUAAUUUUCUUCAAUUAUAGCAAUUUGAAUGCAAUAAAAAUGGUAAUCUAGAGGUAGAACAAGAGGUUUCUACCCUUUUUGAUAUGUGUUUGAGUUAUAAGUAAAUACAAACUCUUAAUUAAAUAAAAUCAGUUCCCUUUGAUAUGAUGCCCAAUUUUUUUCUCAUAAUUUUUUGAUCUAUUGACUCUAAAAAGGAGUGGAGAAUUUUAAUAUGCACAAGUACUGUCAAACAUGUUACAUACUUAAUGAUUCUCAUGAACUCAAAAAGGAGCUAAAAAUUCUGCUUUGUUUUGUAAUUGUUUUUUGCCUCCACUGCAUAUAGGAAUGUUGUGGCUUAUAGUUUCAAAGUUUCAACUACUUGAUGCUUGAUAAAUUUGUGUAUUCUAGGCCGAGUCUUGCGCUUUUCAUUCUUGUGAUUAUUGAUUUUGAAAUUUCUAAUAUUGUGGCUUAUCUUCGUGUUUAUGUUUGUGUUGCUACUGAUGUUCGUGUUCCAUUGCUGCUGAUGUUCGCUUUCUUAGUUGCAGCUGUUCUUCCAUAAAAAUGGUUAUCAUUGCCAAACAUACAAGGGCAGACAUCCCUACAUUGGACAAGAAAAAAUAAGCUCUACCUAUAUGGGUGAUUUUUUUUAAGAUUACAUUUGUACAACAAUAAUGAUUGGAAGAAAUAAAACAUGUGCACUUUGAAUAUCUGAUUAAUUAUUAGCUAGUUUCAAAUUUAAACAAAUAGCUAUAGAAUAUAUUGCUGGUAAUGUAUACUUCUUCAAAAAUGGCAUAAUAUAUAUAAUCCAAAUGAGAGGGAGGAAACUGAGGAGAACCAGCUGCCUGGCCCAAAUUCUUGAGGA